rnacentral:rRNA from 1 species
AUGAACGCUGGCGGCGUGCCUAAUACAUGCAAGUCGAGCGAACGGACGAGAAGCUUGCUUCUCUGAUGUUAGCGGCGGACGGGUGAGUAACACGUGGAUAACCUACCUAUAAGACUGGGAUAACUUCGGGAAACCGGAGCUAAUACCGGAUGAUAUUUUGAACCGCAUGGUUCAAAAGUGAAAGACGGUCUUGCUGUCACUUAUAGGUGGAUCCGCGCUGCAUUAGCUAGUUGGUAAGGUAACGGCUUACCAAGGCAACGAUGCAUAGCCGACCUGAGAGGGUGAUCGGCCACACUGGAACUGAGACACGGUCCAGACUCCUACGGGAGGCAGCAGUAGGGAAUCUUCCGCAAUGGGCGAAAGCCUGACGGAGCAACGCCGCGUGAGUGAUGAAGGUCUUCGGAUCGUAAAACUCUGUUAUUAGGGAAGAACAUAUGUGUAAGUAACUGUGCACAUCUUGACGGUACCUAAUCAGAAAGCCACGGCUAACUACGUG